rnacentral:misc_RNA from 1 species
UUUUACUCAGAACAAAUGGUAACUAUAUUGCAAAAGAAGGAACAUUUGUACAGAUUGUUAUACAAAAAGCACAACAAAACUGCAGCUGAAGCUUUCUCCAGCUACAAUGCUUUUCGGUAUUCACCUUGAAUUAGUGUUCAUAAUUAUUUUUUCCUAUUUCAUUUUAGCUUUCUUCCUCUCACCCUUCAUAUCAUUUACAUGGUCAGGCCUAUAUUUCUUACAAUUAAAAUACCUACACAUGUACAACUUAACCACCCCGAGAACCCUCCCCCGAUGCCGGCAGACAAAUUAUCCAAUCCUGAGGGAGCCUCUAGAUUCCAUAUUCUUUCAAAUGGUCAGCCUUCAUGUCUAGCCAGUCGCAUUCAAGUUCAUUUAGCACAGAAUCAAGUUCACAAUUGCACCAGUAUAAUGACAUGCUUGCUGGCCAUCCCGACAGCUGAGAACCACAUCCUCGCAGCCUAGCCAUUCUGCACAAUGAUUGGUGGCUCAACAAAACCUGCCUUUAGGUGGUGCAUGAUCUAUGAACAACCCAACAAUUUGAAAUCUUGUGAUGCUCUCAGCCGAAAGGAAAAACAAACAAAUGAGCCACAACUGCAACUUAUAAAGCUUCCAGGGUAAUUGAUGCUUUGGUGAAAACAGAGAGAACAAAUGGUGCCUCUUCCCCAGGGUGAAUUGUAGUAGGCACAAUAGUGUAACCUUUUGGAUCAGGAUCCAAAACCAUUUCACAUGAAAUCUCUCGAGAAUUGACGUAAUCUGUCCCACCCACUGAUUCAUGUAGGUAAAUAUUGUAAGAAGCACGGCGACCACGAGUCUUAAGUAUCCUCAUCCCAAUGUAGAACAUCAUUGAAUCAUGACUAGAUUGAUAAUUUCUGAAACCAGCUGCUGUUCUAGAGAAACUCACCCCCUAAACGCAGAAUGUCAGAUUAUCUUAAACUAUAAACUCCAUUCAGAAAAGACUCUGGGUCAUUAUGCAAGUAUACCUGAGUUAAGGUAAUAAACACAUGAAUUGGUAAUGAUGCAUCGGGACCAGCAGCCCUCAAUCGAAACUGUGGAUUUUGAUUCCAAGAAGCAUAAUCUUGGCAUCCACCAGCACUGUAGCCUCGCCAUUGGCCAUGAACAGAAUACCGCAUCUCAGGGGGGUAGACACGACAUACAUAUAUUGAUCGGAAGUGGAUCUGGAAGUCUUGCCAAGACAUCCAGAAAAUACCAUCUUUUGACUGAGGAACAUGCUUCAGCUUGUGUUUUAUUCUAUCAGUCCAUUCGGGUGAUGAAUCAGACCAAGGACCAUUCCACUCAACUUCAUUAGCCCAUGGAUUCCGAAUUUGAACAAGCUUAUGUCCAUCCACCUCUCUAACUUGCAGCAAAGAGUAAGCAUGGCCUUGGACAAUGCCACUAGAAGAAAUGUGCACAUCAGAACCAGAUGGACUCCCAGCACCAAGUAGAAAGCCCUCUUGUUUAAAACGUAGCAAUUGAGACCAUAGUCUGCCACUAGCAAGAUCAAUCUGGGCCUGGGCACUCCUCAUGUCAAUCUCCUCACCAGCACCACCAGUAAGGUCAACAAGAGCAUCCUGGACAAGCCCACCUUCCAAUGCCUCAUAAGAGCCAUGCAAUUUGGCAUAUGCUUUCUCCAAUAUAGACACCCAGAGUUCAUUACCUUUCCUGCUGGUAGCAAAUGCAGGUUUACCUGGUGAUUCACAUGGUAUCCAAUCAUCGACAACUACUGGAACCCACUCACCCUGAAUGCAGAAACGAACAGUGUAGAUUCCUUCCUCAUUGUAUUCAGGAGUAAUAAUUACUUCUGAUAUUCGUGAUACCUCCGUCAAAACAGCAACAGCACUUAAAAACCAACAAUCUCCUAAACGACCCUGACAAACAUCAGAGGGAUUUGCAGACCCAGAAAAUAAGCAUGGGCAGGAAUCCAGACGGUUUUCCUUAACUAUUUCACGAGGCCUCAUCCAAUCAGAGACAACCUGCAACUUCAAAGGGGGAUUUUCUGGAUCCACAUACAAUGAUUGAUCAUUUGGAGGGAACUCCUGAUCAGUAAAACGCGUUUCUCCUCUAGCAGAUAGGGCUUCUUUGACAGCCAGUUCAACUGAAAGCAUUCGCUGAUUGAUUUCUUCUUGCGUUUCUACCCUAGGUUUCCUAAACCUCCUUGUGAAAGAGUCCAUUUCCACCACAACUUCACGAUCUGACCUCCUUUUCCUCCCACUUGAAUAUUGACCAUCCCAAUCUACAUCAUCCCUAUCAUACAGAUCUACAUCUGCAGGAUCACUAUCCCACUCAUCAACCCUGGUGGGUGAAUCUGCCCAUUGCCAAUUAUCUUCAGGAAAGUCAACCAUACCAAACUCUGUUGAGCCUAUAGCAGUGUGAAGAGAGGCAAUCUCAUCUUCAGUUAAGCACCUUCCCCAUAAAAAGACAUCCAUUAUAUGCAUUUUAGACUCAGCACCUUCACUAUCUGACCUUCCAAAUGCAUCCACAUCCGUAGGCGGUCUAAAACCAACCCAAACUUCUGUCCCUUGUUCCCAAAUGCUACUACCAACAGACAAUGGUAACCCAGUUUGGAAGCCAUCAAAGCCACCAUCUAGAUAGCAAGUUGCCUCACCUAAAUCAGCAUCAACUGUCAUCGUCACAAUAUGCCACCUUCCAUCUGCAAUACUUGUCGCACUGAUGCUCCACUCCCUUGCAACUGUUGUUUGCCUAUCACCCUUAGUAAUCAAUCGAAGCCCAACUUGUCCUGCCUCAAUACCUUGCUCAGCACCAGCAACCAAAACUUCCCAGCAAACUUUUUUAUGAAAUUCAGUGCCUAAAAGGCACACUGGUCCAGACUCAGGUUGGAUCAUCACUGCAAUUGAAAAGCUGACUUUUCGAGUUUGACAUAUGCUGGGAUCAAUCUCACCGCAGUGUCGGCCGCUUGCUGUUGGUUCAUCAUCAAGGAUACAUAUGGCACCAGAAAUUCCGGUCUGAAGUGCUCGACGGGCUAAUUGAGCCAUGCGUAUCCGACGUGCAAUGCUUGCAACCCUCUCCCGAGCAAAGGAAUCACUGAGAACAGAAUCACCACCUACAGCACGCACUGCAGCAGCCAUAGCUGCUGCCUCCCUGCUGCCAGCAUUAGGAAUAGAGGAAAUCAGAGAAGCUUCAAUCUCCUUCCAUUUACGUUCUUCUUUAUCCAGAAGAGCCUUCCUUCUUUCUUUACCUCUGCCCUCCUCUUCACGUCUCUGCAUUAAGAUUUCCUCUUCCAUCUCCUUUUCUCUUAAGUAACUCUCUUGAAUAAUUUCAAAUUGCCUACGAUCCUCAGGCAUCCAUUUCUUAAUUUUCUUGGCACUUAGGUCUGAAAACCCUAUGCUGUCAAGAAAAAGCCUCAAGCGUACCUCAUCCUGCACUCUUUCUGCUGUAGCAGUCAAACCAAGAAGUAGUAAUAAAUAACCACCAAACCGAUCCCACAUGUAUACCCAUUCAGUGUCUAUUGCCUCUUCCAAAGCCAAAAUUCGUGCAUGCGCACACAUUUCCCUUCUGUGAUCUAAAUCAGUGGCUGAUUCACGGAAAAACGCCCUGUAUCUCAUUCUGAAGAAGAAUGAUCCUACAAGUAGUUCCUCGUUUCUCAGACGAUCUCUCAAUUUCACAACAUCAUCUCUAGGAAGCACAAGGUUGCCUGCCUUGUCCCGUGUAGCAGUAGGGUCUCCAACCAAAAGAGCUGUUGAACUAGCAGAUCUCUGUGGAGCCGAAUAAGUUCCAGAUAAAGCAUUUCUUGUCUUAGUGGCAGAUCGUGCAAUUGCUUGGACAAUAGUAUCCUUACUGAGAAAAUGAACUGCAUCUUCCAUCAUCUCAAGUGUCAGGCAUGGACGAGAAACAGCAAAACCAAAGGCUACAACAAGAGUAAUUGCAGAUACAGCAGCACCAGCAAAUGGUGGGUAAAUUUUCAAACUAGCAACAACACCCCAACCCUCAGUUGCCAAAGCAAUCCCAUAGAGCACAAGAAAUGCGACACUGACAUUCUUGCCACAAUCUGCAUGAGCAUUGUAUACAUAAACAGGCAAUACUCUAGGCGAAUACACUACAAUGGGCGGUGAGAGGAGGACCGUCAAUGCUCGUCCAGCAAGAAGAAAUAGAAAUGAAAAAUAACCAACAGAUGCUCCAACAAAUGGUUUACCUUGAAACCAUCCAACAAGAAACGCUGCCAAGCCCAAAAGAAAAGCAAGGAAACAAACAAACAGCAUCUGUGUCCUGGUCAAAUAGAAGUUGUUUGAAGCCCAGUGGUGGAUAACACCAAUAGCUAGCACGAUCAGGAGAAGAACUAAAAGGAAUGCUACUCCUAUAGUCCAUGGCUUAAUCACAACUAUAACAGCAGAUAUUGCACCAAGCAGAAGAAGGAGACCAAUAAUAACAAAUACAUAUACCCCUCGAGAGAGUUUCCAACCAUCAUCUUUCCAUUUAAGCAAUCCAGAGCAAAGUGAUAGCAAUGCCGGAAUGCACACAAGAGGCAGUAAAGCAGCUAAAAAAUCACCCUUUGUUGGAACUUGGUCAUCCCUAGAUUUGACAACUUCCAAAUAGGAUGCACCACAAAAUGCCACAAGAACAACUGUGAAUAUCCCAACACAUACAGCAGAAGACAGGGAAAACCGAUAUGUUGCAAACCAUGACACAAUUGGCAGCACACCAGUAACUACUAAAGCAAUUGCAGAUGCCAUUGCCCAACCAAGGUACACUGAUGAUGCAUAAGGAGUGCUACAGCUUCCCGGGUCACUAGCCCACCCCUUGUACUCUAAAUCAUCUAAAGGCUUCACAGACACUAUUGCACCCAGAGCUAAUACAGAUCCAAUAAAUACUAUUACACAAAUUAUAAGAACAAUGCCCUCCUUUGUCCCAGAAGGGCGAUGGUUUCCUGCAGGAACUGUGGAGUGUACCCGUGGAACCCAAACCUGGUAGCCAU